ACGUGACGCUAUUGCGUUAAGCCAGCCGCCUUAGCUCAGUCGGUAGAGCGCUUCACUCGUAAUGAAAAGGUCGCGA
rnacentral:tRNA from 1 species